rnacentral:rRNA from 1 species
GACGAACGCUGGCGGCGUGCUUAACACAUGCAAGUCGAACGGAAAGGCCUGCUUUCCCUUGUGGACUGCGGGUACUCGAGUGGCGAACGGGUGAGUAACACGUGAGUGAUCUUCCCCCAACUUGGGUAUAAGCCUGGGAAACUGGGUCUAAUUCCCGAUAGGACUGCAGGGUGGUGCCUGUGGUGGAAAACGAUUUUCUAGUGGUUGGGGAUGAGCUCGCGGCCGAUCAGCUUGUUGGUGGGGUAAUGGCCUACCAAGGCGGGGUCGGGUAGCCUGCCUGGGAGGGCGGACCGGCGAAUGGGGACGGAGACACUGCCAAUACGACUACGCGAAGAAGCAGUCGGGAAUCAUGCACAAUGGGCGGUAGACUGUGGCAGCGAGGCUGCGUGGGCAAUGCCGGCUUUCGGAUGGUAAACUCCUUUCGACAGCGCGGAAGCGACCUGGUUGGAACGGUGGUGACGGUAGUGGUAGAAGAAGCACCGGCUAACUACGUG